ACUUGGGCCAUCUUUAACAUCCAAUUCGGCCCAAAAUUCCCCCAUAUACAAAAUUAAUUCCCCAUCCUAAAUACUUUACCGCCCCAGUUUAAGAAAAUGGACCUGACCCACCAGUUCGACCCACUCAUUUCCCCUCCAUAUAACCUCUCUUACAACUUUUCCCUAUAUCCAAACACUAAACCUAAAAUGCAGAAAACAGCGUUGUUCAUCAUCUUCCUUAGUGAGCCCAACCUCAACUCGCCUGAAACUCAAAUGGUCCCCUCCCCUCCACGUCAGUUUAUUCCAACGGAUUUUUGUUAGAGAAAAAAAAGAAUAUUCCCUCCGAAUUUGCAUGAUUUCUGUACUAUUGAGCCUUUUGCUGGAUGAAUGGGAGCCGUGAUGGAUGAAAAUUAAUCCAUGCCUUCCAUUUAUCCCUAAAAUCGCUCUCAAACGAGGGGAUUUUUCGAAUUUUUGGGCAGAAGCUUCGAGAUUUUUGUGGGUUAUAUAGAAAGUGAGUUUUCUUGUUUAAGGGGAAGGAAAAAAUCAGAGGAAAAUUUUCAGAAAAAUUAGUAGGGUAAAAUUCCUAGAGUUCUUCAAGUUUUCCCUUUCUUUAGGCCUUUUCUUUCAAAAAUUUUAGUCUGCAUCUAUUCAGAAAACCAAAAAAAUAAGAAACAAAAUAUUCUAAGUUUGUGUUCUUCAUUCGAGUUUCAUUUUCAAAAGAAAUCAGAGAAAGCACAAAAAACGUUUUCAACAUCUUUUUUUGUUGAUUCUGGGUUCUCAAGAAUGGUUUUGGAUUGAGUUGGUUUCUGGUUCUCAAAGCUGUGGAUUUGUCGUUGAUUUCUGUUGAUUUUGCUGCUGACACCGUACUGAGAUCCAUCAGUUCUAUUCCAGCCUUUAUUUGGCUUAGGCUUAUUUCAUUGUUGUCAAGGUUUUCACCGUGAGGCGCAAGGUUUGAGAUGACCAAAAGAAGAAGUCUCAACCCAAAUGAAAGAAAAGAAGAAACAAGAAAAGAAGUUGAACUCAAGAUGCAGAAGUGGAGAAAAGAUGUGGACUACUCAAAAUUUGAUUGAAGUCACAAGCUUCGCAUGUCCCGCCUUGAUCCAAAAAGCUAAAGAAAAGUGAACCAGCAAUUGCAGCUAACGAGCAUCAAGAUUCAGAUCAGAGUCUGCAGGAAGAACCACCCAAGACUCAAGAGCAUAAGUAAUGUAAUGAUGGCUAAGGGCUUUCUUUUUACCGGUUUGAAAGGAAGAGUGUGCCAUGGUGAAAUGCAAGACAAAACAGAAAGCAAGGAAGGUGAAACAGUGUUGGCAAAAUCCAAUACAGAAUGUCCCGAGGGGUCAUUGUUGAAUGAAUUGACUUCGGUUUGAUUUCCUGAAAGAUUUAGAAGGUUAUAGAUAAGAAUCUUGUAACUCGUAGUUGAUAGGCUUAUCAAGUUUAGCUUUUCAUCUUU